GUCAGGAUGGUCCGAGCGGUCUAAGCGCUGCGUUCAGGUCGCAGUCUCCCCUGGAGGCGUGGGUUCGAAUCCCACUUCUGACA
rnacentral:tRNA from 1 species